rnacentral:rRNA from 1 species
ACAUGCCUACAACAUAGCAUUAAUGCAAUGGAUCCCAUUAUAACUCCGCAAUUAAGCGCGCUUAGGCUAGAGUAGUACUAGGAUGGGUGACUACCCAGGAAGUCCUAGUGUUUUACAUGCC